rnacentral:lncRNA from 10 species
UCUGACUCCAGGACCUUGCUCCCGGGUGGCAUCCCUGGACCUGCCUAGGGCCUAAGAAAACUUGCCAACCUGAAGAGAAGGACACAGGGCUGGCUGGCUUUGCCACCUGCUGAUUGUAGAGGCUGGGGACUUUCAGCAAACACAGAGAACAUGAAGACGUGAACUAUAUUGAAGUCCCUAUGCAAAUCUUCAUAAUGCCCAGGGGACUCUAUCUCAACUUCAAGAUGCAAACCUUUACAAGCAUGCAGCUGUUCCAGACAUCAAUAAUGCAUGCACAGUUCAUAAUCAUACCAGUUAUGUAACCUGUCGUGCAAGCCACAUCUUCCAAGGCAUGUAUCCCCAGAGGACAGACAAAGCUAUGCACAGAGAACCUGCUGUUUCUUAAGUAUUUCCACUUCCCAUAAAUUUACAAUUAAUAUUAAUCCUGAUCUUGAAAAUAAGCUGUGAACCAAAGCAAAUCACCUUAAAAGCAGAUUUUCAUUAAUGAGGAGAUUUACUGUAAGUUUCUCAAAGCCUACCUUUCUUACUUGGCUUUUGUGAGAAAUUGCAAAUCUUUCCCUGGUGAGAUCCAUACCAUGACUGCUGAUACAUGGUCGAGAGCACUUUUGUACUUAAUUGGUGCAGAAAUACAAGUAAAGGCAGAGCUGUGUUCACUUCCUCCUUCAUUUCCUCUCUAUUCCUUUUCUGUGAUGUCACAUACUGAUACAGCAUCUACACAUAGCCAUGUGUCUAACAAACAUAUCUGCUCAAGGCUUAGUCAAUCUUUGACCUUCCUCCUUCCUCAUGCAUACCUUAAGCAUUAAUUUAAGGUCAAGCACAUUUACAGGUUCCCC